GAUGAAGAACGUAGCGAAAUGCGAUAAGUAAUGAGAAUUGCAGAAUUCAGUGGAUCAUCGAAUCUUUGAACGCACAUUGCGCCCCUUGGUAUUCCGAGGGGCAUGCCUGUUCGAGCGUCAUUACAACCCUCAAGCUCAGCUUGGUAUUGGGCCCCGCCGACCCGGCGGGCCCUAAAGUCAGUGGCGGUGCCGUCCGGCUCCGAGCGUAGUAAUUCUUCUCGCUCUGGAGGUCCGGUCGUGUGCUCGCCAGCAACCCCCAAUUUUUUUCAGGUUGACCUCGGAUCAGGUAGGGAUACCCGCUGAACUUAAGCAUAUCAAUAAGCGGAGGA
rnacentral:misc_RNA from 1 species